UAUUUAGAUGAGCUGUCCACAAGAACCCGGU
rnacentral:piRNA from 1 species